UGGGGAAUAUUGGACAAUGGGCGAAAGCCUGAUCCAGCCAUGCCGCGUGUGUGAAGAAGGUCUUCGGAUUGUAAAGCACUUUAAGUUGGGUGGAAGGGCUGUAAGCGAAUACCUUCUGUUUUGACGUUACCGACAGAAUAAGCACCGGCUAACUCUGUGCCAGCAGCCGCGGUAAUACAGAGGGUGCGAGCGUUAAUCGGAUUUACUGGGCGUAAAGCGUGCGUAGGCGGCUAAUUGAGUCGGAUGUGAAAUCCCCGAGCUUAACUUGGGAAUUGCAUUCGAUACUGGUUAGCUAGAGUGUGGGAGAGGAUGGUAGAAUUCCAGGUGUAGCGAUGAAAUGCGUAGAGAUCUGGAGGAAUACCGAUGGCGAAGGCAGCCAUCUGGCCUAACACUGACGCUGAGGUACGAAAGCAUGGGGAGCAAACAGG
rnacentral:rRNA from 1 species